CGCGGGGUGGAGCAGUUGGAAGCUCGUUGGGCUCAUAACCCAAAGGUCGGCGGUUCGAGUCCGUCCCCCGCUA
rnacentral:tRNA from 1 species